rnacentral:rRNA from 1 species
CCCGGCGACCGGCACACGGGUGAGUAACACGUAUGCAACCUGGCCGUGACAGAUGGAUAACCGGGAGAAAUCCCGCCUAAUACAACAUAAUGCCGGGAGGGGACAUCCCCUGCCGGCCAAAGGGGGCGACCCCGGUCACGGAUGGGCAUGCGGCGCAUUAGGUAGUUGGUGGGGCAACGGCCCACCAAGCCGACGAUGCGUAGGGGUUCUGAGAGGAAGGUCCCCCACAUUGGAACUGAGACACGGUCCAAACUCCUACGGAAGGCAGCAG